UACGUAGGGUGCAAGCGUUAAUCGGAAUUACUGGGCGUAAAGCGUGCGCAGGCGGUUAUGCAAGACAGAUGUGAAAUCCCCGGGCUCAACCUGGGAACUGCAUUUGUGACUGCAUGGCUAGAGUACGGUAGAGGGGGAUGGAAUUCCGCGUGUAGCAGUGAAAUGCGUAGAUAUGCGGAGGAACACCGAUGGCGAACGCAAUCCCCUGGACCUGUACUGACGCUCAUGCACGAAAGCGUGGGGAGCAAACGGG
rnacentral:rRNA from 1 species